AAACGUAGGGGACGAGCGUUGUCAGGAAUUACUGGGCGUAAAGGGCGCGCAGGCGGAUAUUUAAGUCAGCUGUAAAAGGCAUGAGCUCAACUCAUGUAUGCGGUUGAAACUGGGUAUCUAGAGUGCUGGAGAGGUAGGCGGAAUUCCCGGUGGAGCGGUGAAAUGCGUAGAUAUCGGGAAGAACACCAGUGGCGAAGGCGGCUUACUGGCCAGCAACUGACGCUGAGGCGCGAAAGCCAGGGGAGCGAACGGGAUUAGAUACCCCGGUAGUCCUGGCCGUAAACGAUGAAUGCUAGGUGUGGGUGUCGAGAGGCAUCCGUGCCGGAGUUAACGCGAUAAGCAUUCCGCCUGGGGAGUACGAUCGCAAGAUUGAAACUCAAAGGAAUUGACGGGG
rnacentral:rRNA from 1 species